GGAGGGAUCAUUACCGAGUUUACAACUCCCAAACCCCUGUGAACAUACCUAUCGUUGCUUCGGCGGAUCCGCCCCGGCGCCCUCGGGCCCGGAUCAGGCGCCCGCCGGAGACCCCAAACUCUUGUAUUUCUUUAGUAUCUUCUGAGUAAACAAGCAAAUAAAUUAAAACUUUCAACAACGGAUCUCUUGGUUCUGGCAUCGAUGAAGAACGCAGCGAAAUGCGAUAAGUAAUGUGAAUUGCAGAAUUCCGUGAAUCAUCGAAUCUUUGAACGCACAUUGCGCCCGCCAGUAUUCUGGCGGGCAUGCCUGUUCGAGCGUCAUUUCAACCCUCAAGCCCCCGGGCUUGGUGUUGGGGCUCGGCCCGUCCCUCGCGGCGCGCCGUCCCCGAAAUCCAGUGGCGGUCACGCUGUACUCCUCUGCGUAGUAAUCCAACCUCGCAACGGGACAAAGCCUGGCCACGCCGUUAAACCCCCCACUUCUGAAGGUUGACCUCGGAUCAGGUAGGAAUACCCGCUGAACUUAAGCAUAUCAAUAAGCGGAGGAAAAGAAACCAACAGGGAUUGCCCUAGUAACGGCGAGUGAAGCGGCAACAGCUCAAAUUUGAAAUCUGGCCCUCGGGUCCGAGUUGUAAUUUGUAGAGGAUGCUUUUGGUGAGGUACCUUCCGAGUUCCCUGGAACGGGACGCCAUAGAGGGUGAGAGCCCCGUCUGGUCGGAUACCAAUCCUCUGUAAAGCUCCUUCGACGAGUCGAGUAGUUUGGGAAUGCUGCUCUAAAUGGGAGGUAUAUGUCUUCUAAAGCUAAAUAUUGGCCAGAGACCGAUAGCGCACAAGUAGAGUGAUCGAAAGAUGAAAAGCACUUUGAAAAGAGGGUUAAACAGUACGUGAAAUUGUUGAAAGGGAAGCGCUUGUGACCAGACUUGGGCCCGGUUAAUCAUCCAGCGUUCUCGCUGGUGCACUUGGCCGGCCCAGGCCAGCAUCAGUUCGGUGUGGGGGAUAAAGGCGGCGGGAAUGUGGCUCCUCCGGGAGUGUUAUAGCCCACCGUGUAAUACCCUGUGCUGGACUGAGGUUCGCGCAUUCGCAAGGAUGCUGGCGUAAUGGUCAUUAGCGACCCGUCUUGAAACACGGACCAAGGAGUCGUCUUCGUAUGCGAGUGUUCGGGUGUUAAACCCCUACGCGUAAUGAAAGUGAACGCAGGUGAGAGCUUCGGCGCAUCAUCGACCGAUCCUGAUGUUCUCGGAUGGAUUUGAGUAAGAGCAUACGGGGCCGGACCCGAAAGAAGGUGAACUAUGCCUGUAUAGGGUGAAGCCAGAGGAAACUCUGGUGGAGGCUCGCAGCGGUUCUGACGUGCAAAUCGAUCGUCAAAUAUGGGCAUGGGGGCGAAAGACUAAUCGAACCUUCUAGUAGCUGGUUUCCGC
rnacentral:misc_RNA from 1 species